ensembl:lncRNA
GGGGCGGCCCACUGCGCAGGCGCUGUGGUCCGGGCUGGUGUAGUCAUGGGUGGUGGGGUUUUGGUUUCGUGGCUCCAGCUCCUGGCUCUUGUCCGCUGCACGGCGGAGCAGGCUUGCGUGGUGCUUGGCCGGAGUCAGCUCUGCAGUCUCACAACCUUGACCAGCUGUGGAAGUUUUGAUUUUUCUCGGGUUCCCCCCCACGACGUCUAAAGUCCCUCUUUUCCCUUAAGACUGUGAGCUUCCAGCAACUUAAACCCACAAACAAAUGUUAUCUGUGGGGUUGAAGUGACAACAGAAACCCUCUUCCUUCUCCAUGCUUCCCUUCACUUUAGAAGAUGGAUUAACUCCUUCCUCAGCACCCUCCCUUUGCUCAUCCCUUGAGGCUACCCUUCAGCGUCUCCCUCCAGAACAGACACCCUAAGAGCCUGAACCUGGACUCGUCUCUGCAUUCCCAGCUUGGCACAGAGGCUGGAAAAUCCAGCUCUAGUUCAGCAUCUGUUGGAUAAACAAAUUUGUGUGCCAGUAUCUUAGACCUCAUGAGGGUUACAAAUACCAGAGCCUGCAAGGAUCAAACCUCCGUCUGCUAAACAGUCAGGCCACAAAACUAUCCAUAAUAGGCGGUGGAGCAGACUCUGAUGGCUUAGUUUAAUAGUUAUAAUUAGUC